rnacentral:rRNA from 1 species
GAUGAACGCUAGCGGCAGGCCUAACACAUGCAAGUCGAGGGAGAAGCCCUUUCGGGGGCAGAAACCGGCGCACGGGUGCGUAACGCGUAUGCAACCUACCUUUCACAGGGGGAUAGCCCGAAGAAAUUUGGAUUAAUACCCCAUAAUAUUAUUGGAUGGCAUCAUUUGAUAAUUAAAACUGCGGUGGUGAAAGAUGGGCAUGCGUCCUAUUAGCUAGUUGGAGUGGUAACGGCACCCCAAGGCUACGAUAGGUAGGGGUCCUGAGAGGGAGAUCCCCCACACUGGUACUGAGACAGGGACCAGACUCCUACGGGAGGCAGCAGUGAGGAAUAUUGGUCAAUGGUCGGAAGACUGAACCAGCCAUGCCGCGUGCAGGAAGAAUGCCUUAUGGGUUGUAAACUGCUUUUAUACGGGAAGAAUAAGGCGUACGUGUACGUUGAUGACGGUACCAUAUGAAUAAGCAUCGGCUAACUCCGUG